UCUCUCUGACAAACGGGAUGUAU
rnacentral:piRNA from 1 species